rnacentral:rRNA from 1 species
UACGUAGGGUGCAAGCGUUAUCCGGAAUUAUUGGGCGUAAAGAGCUCGUAGGCGGUUUGUCGCGUCUGCUGUGAAAACUCGGGGCUUAACCCUGGGCCUGCAGUGGGUACGGGCAGACUAGAGUGCGGUAGGGGAGACUGGAAUUCCUGGUGUAGCGGUGAAAUGCGCAGAUAUCAGGAGGAACACCGGUGGCGAAGGCGGGUCUCUGGGCCGUAACUGACACUCAGGGACGAAAGCUAGGGGAGCGAAUGGG